GAUGAACGCUAGCGGCAGGCUUAAUACAUGCAAGUCGUGGGGCAGCAUGAAGUAGCAAUACUUUGAUGGCGACCGGCAAACGGGUGCGGAACACGUACACAACCUUCCUUUUAGUGGGGAAUAGCCCAGAGAAAUUUGGAUUAAUACCCCGUAACAUAGCGAUGUGGCAUCACAUUGCUAUUAUAGCUUCGGCGCUAGAUGGUGGGUGUGCGUAUGAUUAGAUAGUUGGCGAGGUAACGGCUCACCAAGUCUACGAUCAUUAGCUGAUGUGAGAGCAUGAUCAGCCACACGGGCACUGAGACACGGGCCCGACUCCUACGGGAGGCAGCAGUAAGGAAUAUUGGUCAAUGGACGAAAGUCUGAACCAGCCAUGCCGCGUGAAGGAUUAAGGUCCUCUGGAUUGUAAACUUCUUUUAUAUGGGACGAAAAAAGGUCUUUCUAGAUCACUUGACGGUACCAUAUGAAUAAGCACCGGCUAACUCCGUGCCAGCCGCCGCGGUAAGAC
rnacentral:rRNA from 1 species